GUCAUUGAGGACCCAAUUAUUAAAAAAAAUAUAUUCGGUUCCUGACCUCAAAGAGCAUACAUUCUACUUGGAGGGUAGAAACAACUGAGGAAUUCCAUGAGCAGACCCAGAUAAGGGAAAGGGAACAAGCAUUUAUUAAGUGCUACUAUAUUGCACUUUGCAAAUAUUAUCUCAUUUUAUCCUCAUGACAUCCCUAGAAGCUCAGUGAAUAUAUUAUCACCAUGGGGAAACGAAAACAGAUGAGAUGAAGUGAUUGCCAGGGUCACAUACCUACUAUGUAUCUGAAAUUAGAUUUGGACUCUGGUUUGCCUAACUCCAGGCCCAGCACUCUAUUCACUGUACCACCUACCUGACUCUAAGAUACCUAUAAAAUCAGGGAGAGAGUCAUGCCGACAAAGGUGAUAUUCAGGUGGACAAUUUGAGACGGGAGAAAACAGCCAACUUCAGAGGUUGGGGUGGCGGCUGCGGUAGGGAAAUUCUGGAAGGGCUGGAGACCAUGUCCUGUAUUUUGCAGACUAAGAGCUGGCAACCCUAUACCAUCAUGACGAUACAUGUGGAAGCGUGAUCUCCAACACCCCCCUGGGGACCUGAGAAGGGGACUGCAUCAGCAACAGCCAGGGAACACAGAGGUCACCCACCUGUUACUCUUCUUCCUAAAAAGGAAGGGGCAGAAGAGCCCAGUUAGGUUUAGGAUCUGGGGGUGAAACAAAUCCUCCACCAUUAGCCAGUGAUAGGCUAAGUUGGAAUAUCUAUCGCAGUCUCCAAGGACACAGGGCUAUAUUUAGAGGAAAAAUAACACGAAAGCACUUGGGAGAAUAAGGUCGUCUUACAUUUGUGUUUGUUGGUAUUCCUGAGCUCACACUUCUGUGCUGCUUUAGUGGUUACAAAAGGUUUUCUUUACUGGAAUCCAGUGGGGAUAGAUAGGCAGGGCAGAUAUCAUCAGCCUCAAAUGACAGGAUGCUCAGAGUUACCCAGCUGCACUCCGUGCAUAGGGUGAAGAGAAACGAUUCUGCCAUUUUAGAAUCAGAGAAUGUGAGGGGCAGAAAGGUCCCCUGAAAUCACCCUGGGCCUCUUGGGCAAAGUGACCCAGAGGAGGAAUCAAUCACCGAAUGACUAAAAGUGGCUUUUGGCAUGAAGAUAGAGGAAAGCAUAAUUCAAAACGCAAAUGUCAGCAAGAGCUCCUGUGAUCACCACAGCAAAAUGAAGAUGAUAUGUGAUCAGCUUGGCCUGGAAAACAC